AGUGAACGCUGGCGGUAUGCCUUACACAUGCAAGUCGAACGGCAGCACAGUAAGAGCUUGCUCUUACUGGUGGACAGUUGCGUACUAGUGCGGAAUACAUCCGAAUCUACUUUUUCGUGGGGCAUAACGUAUGCUAAUAUCCGCUACUACCUCAUACUACCUACGGGUGAAAGCAGGGCAUCUUCGGUUCUUGCCCGCUUGUAUCAGCCUAUGUCGGAUUAGCUAGUUGGCGGGGUAAAGGCCCACCAAGGCGACGAUCCGUAGCUGGUCUGAGAGGAGGAUCAGACACACUGGAACUGAGACAAGGUCCAGACUCCGACGGGAGGCAGCAGUGGGGAAUAUUGGACAAUGGGCGCAAGCCUGAUCCAGCCAUACCGCGUGGGUGAAGAAGGCCUUCGGGUUGUAAAGCCCUUUUGUUGGGAAAGAAAAGCAGCAGGUUAAUACCCCGCUGUUCUGACGGUACCCAAAGAAUAAGCACCGGCUAACUUCGUG
rnacentral:rRNA from 1 species